AGUGAAUUCAAGUUUGUGAAAAAUAGAUCUGAUGGUAAAGCACUAAAGCUGCUCUGAAAGACUGGAAAAGCUAUUGCUCCUCAAGACUACGUUUAUAUGAAAGUGCUCUGUACCAUUAUUUCCUGAUGCAAUAUAUAACCGCUGACCAUUACAGAGCUUCACAACAUGUUGGCUGGUGAAGCCAACUAGACAGCAGUUCGUAAGCUAAUCUUAAAAGGCUACAUGAGAGAUUCUAGCAGCCGCAGUCUAGGUUUGCUUUCUCAGUUCAAACCCUACUGUUUUAAGGUUUGUUGGUCGUAAGGCUGCAUCACUGAUGCCAUGGAUAUAUACAGGGAAGAGUUAUUGAUCCAUUGACCGCAAUGAUAGUGUAGCUAACGUGCUGAUCCAACACCAGUGGCGUCCAAAGUUGUUCAUCAUUGUUUGUAGUUUGCCAGAGACUUGGGAUCUUGCAGUUUCCACAUGAAUAGUCCAAAAGCUGAUUUUGGCAUGGCACAUCACGUGCUUUAGCUGUGGAUGCUCACCAAGAAGAAACUCAAAAGAGUUCAGUAAAGUGGCUGUUGACAUUCACGGUUCUUUUGUCUCCAUGAUCUACUCUGGUUUAUCACUUUUUUUAUCAACCCUCAUGUUUAUCACUAUAAGUUUUUGGUUACUUCACUUUAUAUUUUCUUCAGAUUUUCUAUUGUAAAUUGGUGAUACACUACAGUAGAAAAGACUAUUUUGAAUUAAAAAAAUUUAGUGGAUAAAUUUGCAAAACAAUUCUAAACAAAUCUACAUUGGUAUCUUGCUUGAAAGGUACACUCAAGAAACCUAAAUUAAUUAAAGUUCCUUUUUAAAAUUAUUUUUAAUUGUAACCACCAAAAAUUAAAUGGUGCAGCAAGAAGAACUCGAGAUAAGUGCACUCUACAGGGUUGGAAAAUACUUAGUUUCAUAGGGUAGAAAAUAGUAAAUCCCUUUCACUGCUUAAAGAUUGCAAAACUUAGGAAUAUCGUUUACCUCACUGGUUUAUGUUUUAUGGAUUUUUUUGGGAUUCCGUCCGCAAAUUAAUUAAUUAAUUUCUGGUGGGUCACCAGAUUAUUGGGCAGACCGCAAAUGAAUCGCAAAAUAAUUAAUAAAUUAUAUUAUAUAAUAUUACAUUAGCUAUUAAAAAAUACAUGAUAUAUUUUAUGUUUUAAAAAAUACAUAGAAAAAAACUUAAAUUUAGUUUUCUUUAUUUUUUUGUUUCCAUUAAACAUACAAAAUAUCAAAACUAAGUUAGUCCAUUUAACAAUUUGUGGUAACAAGUUAAGAGUUAUGACAUAUCAUUUCUUUUAUAAAGACUUAAAAUCAAUUACUAUUUAAACGUCUAAUAUGAAUAGUUAAAUUAUAAUUUAAAUCCAAAAUAAUUUCUUAGGUCAUCGGGUUAUUGGGUUGACCGCAGAAGAAUCAAAACUAAUAAAUAAAUAAAUUAUAUUAGAUAAUAGUAUAAUAGUAUAAUAGCUAUUGAAAAAUAUAGGAUAUAUUUUAUUUUUUUUAAAAAUGCAUAGAAGGAAAAUUAAAUUUAGUUUUCUUUAUUUUUUAUUUUCAUUAACAUAAAAAAUAUCAAAAAUAAGUAAGUCCAUUUAAUAAUUUUUAGUAAAAAGCUAUGAGUUAUGAUAUAUGAAAAAUUUAUAAGACUAAAAAUCCAUUAGUAUUUAAAUAUCUAAUUUGAAUAAUUAAGUUAAACUUUAAAUCUAAAAUUAAUUCUUGGGUCACCGGGUUAUUGGGCUGACCGCAGAUCGCAAAUUAAUAAAUUAAUUAUUAUAUUAUAUAAUAAUAUAUUAGCUAUUUAAAAAUAUAGGAGAUUUUUAUGGUUUAAAAAAUACAUACAAAAUUAAAUUUAGUUUUUUUUCACUGAACGUACAAAAUAUCAAAAAUAAGUUAGUCCAUUUAACAAUUUUUAGUAACAACUUAGGAUUUACGACAUAUAAAAAAACUAUAAAGACUGAAAAUGUAUUAGUAUUUAAAUAUGUAUUGUGAAUAAUUAAAUUAAACUUUAAAUCAAAAAUAAACCAAAGUAAAAUAUAAAAUUGUAUUAGAUUGCUGAUAACAAAAAUACACUAAUAGCAAAUCAUAUAAACUGAUUUUGGUUCUCUCUAUCAUCAUUCAUUUUUUUCAGGUGGUAUAGUAAAAUUUUCAUACAAACCUAAAAAUCGGAAAUAAAAAAUCAAACUACAAAGGUUAUGUCGUAAGUGAGAUUCACGACAAGCAAAAAUCAAACAACAUAAAAAAACAUUCGAAUGAUAUAUAGAGUCAACAAUAGUGAAAAACGAUAGUAAAAAACUGAAAAUAUAAUUUCUUAUUAGAAUACAAAAAGUUUAAUAACAUAACUACAAAAAACGAAAAAAAUAAGUUAAAAUUAUUUAUUGGAUCAACCAGUGAUUCAACCGAUAACUAGAUUUUGGGAUUUAACUAUUUUUGCGGCUUUUAUUGGGUCUUAUAUAAUAUUUUCUUUUUUUGUAAAAUCCAAACCAGAUUCUAUAUCGGAUCACCGAAUUUACCGGUUCUACCGUGGAUCCAUAUGAGUUUCAAAACACUGGUUACAUCACAAUACAUAUGUGAUCUGCCUACAUGAACCUCAACGUAUCUCUUCAAAACUAAAACCUAAAAAUCAAAUAUGGAGCAAUAUAAAUCACUGCACUAUAUCAAUAGAAAUCACUGCUUUGUAUCAAUAGGCUUCAUGACACCAGUAGAAAUAUAUCAUACUCAUUCCAAAUUAUACAACAAACUUAAAAAAAAAUACAAAUGUUAAUAAAAGAAAUGUCUCCAUAAACAAUUCACUUUGUUAAAAGCAUUAGAUAAAUAUUACUAAACCAAACAAAAAAAAUUCACUACAUUUUAGAGCCAUUAAAUUAAAGUUUAAGAAAGCAAUAUAAACACAAACAACAACUUCAAACACAUAUAUAUCACUCAUUGUGUUACACAAUCAACAACUAUCCGCGCUAUAUCACUCAUUGUGUUACACAAUCAAUAACUAUCCCGCGCGUAGCGCGGGCACACCACUAGUUUAGUAAUAAAAAUCAAAAAUAAUAGUGACAACUUGAUGGUUAAACAAGUGGUCUAAUAUCCAAUAAGUAAGGACUAACUUUAGGUACAUAAACGAUUCACAAGAAAAGGGGAAUGUUUAAUGGUUGUGGUUUUCCUUAAUCACAUAGUGUAAGAACCGUACGUAUCUCCAAAAGAGUAUUCGGUAUAUCGUCUAAGGAGUAAUAACAAUAUAUCCGAUUAGGGAUCUUUAGGUUAAAGAAGAUAAUAUACUGAGCUAACUUUAGGGAGUUACUUAAAUAUAUCGCUGACUGGACUAAGCUUGCUGCAUACUGAUAAGAAUUUGGUCCGAGAAUAUGAUUUUGUUAAUGCAUGCAUCAUCGAAUUGGUAUGUAUAAAAUAUGAGAUAUGUAGACAUGUGUCAUGUGCGUGAUUUGUAAUUUGAUUGAAAACGUAUUUGAUGCAGAGGAUAGUUCAUCAAUUAAUUAUGAACCAGUCUUUCACGCUUUUUCUUUAGACAAACAGUUUUAAUUUUCUCUUGUUGAUAUUGUGGCUCUUGUUGUAGUUGUUCUGCUUUCUCGUCACUAAUAUGCUAGUGCUUCAGCUGUAUUUUUCUUUUGGCUUUUUGCUUCAGCUGUAAGGUAUUUACUAGAUUUUGACCCGCGCUUGGAAAGCGCGGGUUUGUUAUUGAAAUUAAUUUUUAAACAAAUUUCUAUAUAAAAUAAUGUAUAAGUUUGAGUACAUUUAGCAGGAAUCGCAAACCAAACUGAAAAAAAUGAAAACAAAAUUUAACUAAACUUCAUAAAUAACCGAGCAGAUUAUAAAUCUCUAAAACCGAAAAACUGAAACGAACUGAGAAAGAAAUGGAUACCUAAAUUUUAAAAAUAUAAAUUAUACUUAAAAAUAUUAAUUAUAUUUAAUUUAUAAAUAACCAAAUAUCUAAAAAUACUAUUUACAAACCGAAUUACCCAAAAAAAAACAAAUUACCUAAUCAGUUUUUAGUCAAAAGAUUAAAAAUUGUCCUGAUUAUCCGAGAUUUUUAUCCGAACUAUCCUAUAUUUAAAAUGGAAACCCCAAAUUAUCCGAUAUUUUUAUUUCUAAAUCCGUAAUUAUCCGAAAAACCAUAAUCAAACAAAAACUGAAUUUGACUCAUUUCUUUUUUUUGCAUAUUAGCCGGUUCCCAACUUUUCUUAGAAAGCGUUCAUUUUUUUCACUUAUUAAUUCAAAAUUAGUUUAAAACUACCAUUAUUUUUGUUUCAAAUCUUAACAAUUGAGGUUUUAUGUUUUAUCAUUUGUUUUUUUAUUCGAAAUAGAUUUAAAGAUGAUAUGUGUGAUUUAAUAGUAUAGAUAUUAUAUGCUAAAGAACAAUGUGUUUUCAUUAUUUAAAUGUAGUAAAUAUAUUAAUUGUCGAUUUUUCUAUUUAAAACAUUUUGUAAGAAUUUUGUCUAUUUAGAGCAUUACGCAUUUAAAUCAGUGUUUUUAAACUCAAACUGGACCCGCGGUUGAAUUGAUAACUUGGUGAUGCGAUAUUUAAUCUGGUUUGGAUUUUAAGAGAUAUCCAUUAUCUUAAAAUCCCAAAAACGCUAAAACUCGAAGUUUGAUCGAUAUCUAAUCUAAUUUGUUUUAAAUUGCUAUUGUUUAAAUUCAGAAGUUAAUUUCAAUGUGUGCAUUAUAUAUUAAAUACUUAUUAUUUUCAAUCUUGUUGCAUUUUAAUUAUAUGUUGUAAGCUGCAUAAAUUGGAAAAAUCUUAUAAUAUAUUUCUAUAAUUAUAGGAUGUUUUCUUUACAAAGUAUUUGAGAAAUUGUGUAAAGUGGUUUUCUUAUAAGUUGUCUAGUAAGAUAUUUUCUUAGAUGUCAGAAUAAAAAGUAUAUAUAUUUUUAUUUAUUUAAAUGUAUUUAUUAGUAAUCAGAAUAAAAUGUAUAUUCUCUUAACUGCAGAAUAUUUGAUAAUACAGUUUUUUGUGUAAUUUACUUAAAUGUUUUGAACUACACGUUUUCAAAAGUUAACCUGUUGGUUAAAUGGUUAGCUAUGACUCUCGCAACAAACCCAACCCUUAAGAUGAUGAUGGUUUAACAUUUGACAACAUAGUUAGGACUGUGUCUAUAUAAUAGUCAACAAAUUCAGAUUGUAGUAUUAUGGAGUUAACAUUUUUCGAGAUCAAAAACAUUCAAAACGUAAAUCUAUCGACGUCUCACAUAGUUUUGUUAUGAAGCUGAUGAAAGAAGUUGGAAGACAUAGUUUUGCAAACAUCAUUUUUUGCUAACGUAUAAACGUUGGUUUGAUUAAAUGUAAUAGGAUAAGGAUAUUCGUUUGUUCCUAUAAUUGAGUUAAAUUAUAUUUUGGUUAUUAUAAUAUGUUAAGUUGAAAAUAAAUAGGUUCAACAACCUUGUUUAAGUAGAUUUUUUAGGAGUGAUUCCCUUUUAAUAGUAUAGAUUGAUAAUAUGUUACUCUUAAAUAAGUUGCUAAAUAAAAAUUUUGGUUAAGGAUCAAAUCAGUUUAUACCUCACUCAUAAUUUUUGGACCUGUUGGUUGAAACAUCAAAUAGAAAAACUAAAUAAUCAUAGUCACGUUUUUGAUGUAAAUAUUCAGUAAAGAAAACGAGUAAUAUAGAGAGAAAAUGAUAUGAGAAAACAAAAGAGAGCUGAACAGAAAUAUUUAAAAAUUAGAGGUACAUAUUUGGUAUCACUGUUCCAGUGAUAUAUUGUGACAUCGUUUGGGAUCACUUGUACUUUUACGAAUCAUGCCCCCUCCAUUUUCGAAUGAAGCACGCUCCUCCAUGCAGGACUGGGAUCGUGAACUGCUAGAAGUUGCAGCUACAAAAUACUUCAUAGGCUUCUUUUAUCCUCAAUUCAGAAAAAAAACUCCCUUUUACCAGGAUAGGAACAUGAGGCAGAGUCUAUCAAGAGACUCAAAAAUGCAGCUGCUCCAAGUUCAUCUGGAACGUUGACACUGAUACACAUAUCUCUUGAAACCAAUAUUUGCACACAAACUACACUACAAAGAUGAUACCAAAAAGAUCCUCCUCUGAAUAAAGAUGUUCCAAAACAUCACAACCACAUGAAUAUUUUCUCAACAGAAAUUCACUUUCUCAAACCGUUUAGCAGGCUCGAAUCUUUAUUGGUCAGCAUCAUAAGUUAUAUAACAAACAAUUUAUAGAGAAAUGCAAGGGAACCUUAGGGGUUUAACCCUAAUGGGCUGCAGAACGGGUCUUCCCUUUUUAAACCAUAAAAAAAAUUUGGGCUUGGGUUUUGGGGUGUUACACAUGCAUCAUCGAAUUGGUAUGUCGUUAUAUAAUAUGAGACUAGAUCUUGACCCGCGCUUACGAAGCGCGGAUUAUUUUAUGACGAAAAAUUUCACUAAUAACUUAACAAAUAUUUUGUUAAGUUGUAAGAAUUUUAUGUAUUUAUAAUAUUUUUGAAUUUAAAUCAAUGCUUUUGAAUCCGACCCAAACCCGCGGUCUAACCGGUUAAUCCGGUGAUCCGACAAUUCGAUUUAGGUUUGUAAAAAUAUUCAUAUUUAAAAAAUUACUAAAAUCCGAGACUAACCGAUUGAACUGAUGGAUGACCAAUAUAUAAUCCAAUUUGAUUUAAAUUGUUAUAGUUUCAUAAUUUUCACCUUUUAAUCAAAAUUUUAAAGUUCCUUAUUUUGUAAUUUUAUGAAAUUAUGACGUUUCUAAAAAAUUUUGAUAAAUAAAAAUGAAAGAUAUAAAAUAAUUAACAACUAUAAAUAUGUCUUGAUCAUAUUGCUCUUUUUUAUAUAGCUUAAUUAGUUUUAUAAUAAUUGUUUUGUGAAAUUUAUCUUGUUAAUAAUUUAUAUUAUAAUCGGUUUAAAUUUGUUGUUCACAAUUAGUGUUAAGCAUUUUUUUAGAUAACAUAUAUAUUUUGAACAUUUUUCAUAAUUUUUUUUGUUAUUAUAUUUAUUGUACAAUGUAUAAUGUUUAUAUAUAUAUAUAUAUUAUGUAAUGGUUAUUAUUGAAUUGUUAUGUUACUUAAAUCAAUGAUAUAACCAUUAUUUAGUAAUUAUAAAUAAAAUAAUAUGUUAAUUUAAUUAAUUUAUUAUUGGUUGAAAUAUUUUUCUAGUAUUUAAACCUGUAAAAAUAAGUUCUAUUUAUUUUCAUUGUUUUAUUAAUUAUUUGAAUUUUUUAAUUAUAUAAUCUAUCUUAACCAUUUGAAAGAAAAUUGUUAGAAAUAUUAAAAAUAUGAAUUCUAAUAUUUUAUAUUGUUUGGACACAAGAUUAAUUAUAAUGUUGUUUCGAAACAUAGAUAGUAGUAUAAAGAAAUGAAUAUAUUGUUUCGAAACAUUGAUAGUAGUAUAAAGAAAGUAUUAUUAGUGAUUUAAUGUAAGUUUAACUAUAAAAUAGGAAGAUGCAUUUAUUUAAAAACUUACAAAAUAAAGAUCAGCUCCAACGUAAUGUUUAUAUUUUAAUAAUAUAGAUAUGUAGAUAUGUGUCAUGUGCGUGACUUGUAAUUUGAUUGAAAACAUAUUUGAUGCAGAGGAUAGUACAUCAAUUAAUUAUGCACAGGGCCGGCCCGGAGGGCAAGCCACUCAAGCCGUAGAUUAGGGCAUCCAAAAUAAUAGGGCAUAUUUUAAAAAAAAUAUUUGUAUUAUUACCUAUAAACAAAUAAAUUUUUGUAAUUUUUUUUGUUAAAAUAUUAUUUAUAAGGCAUUUUUAUAUAAAAUUUAUUGAACUUUUCAACUAUAUUUAUAAGUUUUUUAUUUAUUAAAAUAUUAGUAAAUUUAUAUUUUAGAUGAUAAUUCAAACUCUAAUUAAAAUUAGCAACAAAACAUAUUUUCUUUUGGUUUCAAUUUAUUCUUUUGCAUCAUUUUGCAUAAUUUUUAUUUUAUUCUAAUUUUUCUUUUAUUAUAAUUUUUCUUUUGGUCUUCUUUUCUCUUAACUCUUAAUAUAUAGUUUAGUUUUAAUGUUUCAGUUUUUUCAACUAAUCAUUUACGUAGUAAGAAGAUAUGUUUGUUAGUUCAUAGUUUUCGAAAUGUGAUAAAAGCUUGAUAGCUUCACUUUAUUACGAUAAUAUUUUUGGAUUGUGUUUACUGAUUUUUAUGAUAGACAUAUAAUGGAUGGUUGAAAAAAUGAAUGUAGAAAUCUAGUGGAUAAUUUUGCAUAAAAAAUGAAAAACAAAAUUAUUUUUACCAAUAAAUAUUUUUAUCACAGUUUUAUUUCCUAAAUAAACUAUAGAUUUUUAUUUCUAUUUAAUAAAAAUUAAAGUUGUUUUAUACUGUUUUAUGAUUUUGAUAAAAUAUGUACAAAGGCAUAAUUUUAAAUUUUGAUUGGGGCAGUGAAAAAUGUUAGUCCGGUACUGAUUAUGCACCAGUCUUUCACGCUUUUGCUUAAGACAAUUCUGAAACAGUCUUAAUUUUCUCUUGUUGUAGUUGUUCUUGCUUUCUCGUCACUAGUAUGGUAGUGCUUCAGCUGUAUUUUUCUUUUGUUUUUUUGCUUCAGCUGUAAGUUAAUUAUUGAUAAUAUGGUACUCUUAAAUAAGUUGCUAAAUAAAAAUUUUGGUUAAGGAUCAAAUCAGUUGAUACCUCACUCAUAAUUUUUGGAACUGUUGGUUGAAACAUCAAAUAGAAAAACUAAACUCAUAAUCAUAGUCACGUUUUUGAUGUAAAUAUUCAGUAAAGAAAAGAGUAAUAUAGAGAGACAAUGAUAGUGCACAAAAAAAAAAGAGAGAGACAAUGAUAUGAGAAAACAAAAGAGAGAAAAAUUAGAGGUACAUUUUUGGUAUCUUCCAGUGAUAUAUUGUGACAUCGUUUGGGAUCACUUGUUCUUUUACGAAUCAUGCCCCCUCCAUUUUCGAAUGAAGCACGCUCCUCCAUGCAGGGCUGGGAACGUGAAACUUCUAGAACUUGCAGCUACAAAAUUCUUCAUAGGCUUCUUUUAUCCUCAAUUCAGAAAAAAAC